AUACAUAGGGGGCGAGCGUUAUCCGGAAUUAUUGGGCGUAAAGCGUGCGUAGGCGGUUUGUUAAGUCUGAUGUGAAAUCUCAUGGCUUAACCAUGUUUGGUCAUUGGAAACUGGCAAACUUGAGUACGGUAGGGGUAAGUGGAAUUCCAAGUGGAGCGGUGGAAUGCGUAGAUAUUUGGAGGAACACCAGUGGCGAAGGCGGCUUACUGGGCCGUUACUGACGCUGAGGCACGAAAGCGUAGGGAGCAAACAGGAUUAGAUACCCUGGUAGUCUACGCUGUAAACGAUGAGUAUUAAGUAUCUGGAGCAAUCUGGGUGCUGCAGCUAACGCAUUAAAUACUCCGCCUGGGGAGUACGGUCGCAAGACUGAAACUCAAAGGAAUUGACGGGG
rnacentral:rRNA from 1 species